AGGAGGUAGAAAGCGAUGGAUGGGGUAUGGGACAGAGGUGAGAAGGAGACAACAACACAAUGGACGGAUCGGGCAGGCGAAGGACAGGUUGUCAGUUCCAUGAGGAUGAAGCCAUUGUUUUCCCAGGGCCCGGUGCUAGCCCCGGACACAGCAAGUGCUUGAAUAUGUAUUGAAUGUGUGAAGUGGGAAGACAAGCUUAAAUCCUCGGUUGGGCAUGUGAACCUCUCCGGGCCUCAUUUUCUUCUGUUUAUAAAACAUUGAAGAUAAUA